rnacentral:rRNA from 1 species
GUGGGGAAUAUUGGACAAUGGGCGAAAGCCUGAUCCAGCCAUGCCGCGUGUGUGAAGAAGGUCUUCGGAUUGUAAAGCACUUUAAGUUGGGAGGAAGGGCAGUAAGUUAAUACCUUGCUGUUUUGACGUUACCGACAGAAUAAGCACCGGCUAACUUCGUGCCAGCAGCCGCGGUAAUACGAAGGGUGCAAGCGUUAAUCGGAAUUACUGGGCGUAAAGCGCGCGUAGGUGGUUUUGUAAGUUGGAUGUGAAAGCCCCGGGCUCAACCUGGGAACUGCUUUCAAAACUGCUGAGCUAGAGUACGGUAGAGGGUGGUGGAAUUUCCUGUGUAGCGGUGAAAUGCGUAGAUAUAGGAAGGAACACCAGUGGCGAAGGCGACCACCUGGACUGAUACUGACACUGAGGUGCGAAAGCGUGGGGAGCAAACAGGAUUAGAAACCCCAGUAGUCC